AUUGAACGCUGGCGGCAGGCCUAACACAUGCAAGUCGAGCGGGGUUUUCGGACCUAGCGGCGGACGGGUGAGUAAUGCGUAGGAAGCUGCCCGAUAGAGGGGGAUACCAGUUGGAAACGACUGGUUAAUACCGCAUAAUGUCUACGGACCAAAGUGUGGGACCUUCGGGCCACAUGCUAUCGGAUGCACCUACGUGGGAU
rnacentral:rRNA from 1 species